rnacentral:rRNA from 1 species
AUUGAACGCUGGCGGCAGGCCUAACACAUGCAAGUCGAGCGGCAGCGGGAAAGUAGCUUGCUACUUUUGCCAGCGAGCGGCGGACGGGUGAGUAAUGCCUGGGAAAUUGCCCAGUCGAGGGGGAUAACAGUUGGAAACGACUGCUAAUACCGCAUACGCCCUACGGGGGAAAGCAGGGGACCUUCGGGCCUUGCGCGAUUGGAUAUGCCCAGGUGGGAUUAGCUAGUUGGUGAGGUAAUGGCUCACCAAGGCGACGAUCCCUAGCUGGUCUGAGAGGAUGAUCAGACACACUGGAACUGAGACACGGUCCAGACUCCUACGGGAGGCAGCAGUGGGGAAUAUUGCACAAUGGGGGAAACCCUGAUGCAGCCAUGCCGCGUGUGUGAAGAAGGCCUUCGGGUUGUAAAGCACUUUCAGCGAGGAGGAAAGGUUGAUGCCUAAUACGUAUCAACUGUGACGUUACUCGCAGAAGAAGCACCGGCUAACUCCGUGCCAGCCGCCGCCGUAAAAC